rnacentral:rRNA from 1 species
UAACCUGCCUGGUAGCGGGGGAUAACUAUUGGAAACGAUAGCUAAUACCGCAUAACAGUAGAUAUCGCAUGAUAUUUGCUUGAAAGGUGCAAUUGCACCACUACCAGAUGGACCUGCGUUGUAUUAGCUAGUUGGUGAGGUAACGGCUCACCAAGGCAACGAUACAUAGCCGACCUGAGAGGGUGAUCGGCCACACUGGGACUGAGACACGGCCCAG